UCAUACACGUAUGUGUGAGUGUGUUGACAUGGCCUCACGUUGCGCGGCUUUAUGCCGCGUACGAUAUAAUUAACCUUCGCACGCCAAAUGCCGGGUCAUUUUGACCCCUUGUACUGGAUCAUACUGGUACAAUUCGCUAUAAUUACUUCUAUCUUUGGGGGGAUUAAUCAACAAACAUUAUAUUGGCAUAUUUCCUAGAACAUUGUCUCCAGAUUUCUUAGAACAUAGACGCAUUUAAUUCCAAGCUUUACAAGUUUGAUGAGCUUUACUACACAUCGUUAUCUACGUUGAUUGUGCAUAACCCACGAUUAUCCUUGAAUGGGUAUAUUUACAAUUAGCGAUAAUUGUUGGUUAACUUCUUUCGAUUGCCGCGACAAUGGUUUAUCAGAAAAGAAGUUCAUUGAAUAAACAAAAUUUGUAUGUACUUUAUAAUAGUUUUAUUCAUAUAAAAUAGUUAUUAUUUUGUUAUAUUUUAAUCGAUUAAGCUAAUUAGGUGAUUGAGGAACUAUAGAAAUAUUUGUUUGCAAUGAACUGUACAUACAUGCUUGCACUAUCGAAACUUGAAAUACGCGGCGCGGACAAGAUUGAAGUUGGAUACGUAAUAUACCGUACGGUGUUCUGCGCAUGCGUGCUUCCAAUUUUACCACUACUGCUACCUGUCGAUUCUAACCUCAAACGUCAACGUGCAACGUUGAUUUUUAACCUCACGAAGGUUUACAUUUAAGAUUAAUAGUUUAUUCAAGUAUAUAUGUGAACAUUUGUGUAGUGUAUUUUAACGGAAAUGUUAAGGUAAAAUUGUGAUUCUUUCUAAAUACGGUAUACCAGAUGUGAGAAUAGAAAAUGUAUGCAGAAAAGGAAAGAUUUCUUUGAAACUCCAAGAUUGUCCGUUUGCAUGAUGAAUUUGUCUACCUACAAGUAUUUGAACAUAUUGCUGAAAGAGUAAAUAAGUGAAGAAAGACUUAGAGACGUUAACGGAGGCGAUAAAGAAAACUAGAAUUGAUGGAAGGGGCUCAAGGCUACGCUGAUUUCUAUUUCCUGCAGUUCUCUUUUGGACGAGAACAAAAAAAAGUACAUUUCUGCGCAUAACACUCAAUUAUCUAAUAAUGUACCUUGCUUAAAAUUAUUGAAUAAAUCAUAGAUUUUGUAAGAAUGUUGUUCAAAUAACAAAUGUUAUGAUUCAGUAAUUUGAAAAUUUGAAUAUCCUGCCAAAUAUUAACACAGUUGUUAUAACUUUACAUAAUUAUGUUUUUAUCAGUGUUUCGAAGUUCCAAAGUGAUUUUAUACGUUCUAAUGAACAGUUUGACUCUCACCCUUAGAAACGUGCCAAAUUUAUCAUCAUCGAAUGCGUAUUUUGUUCUAUACAUAACGUUCUAUCGCAUGCGCAUCAUUCAUAAAAGGGAAAAACAGUAGGUGAUACAUGGUAGGGAGAUUUUAGAAGUGGGAGGAGGGGGUCAGUGACCGUUACAUCAUCGAGAACUCAUAGUCUAGGGAAAUUCAUAAAGCGGCCAAACAAUUAUGUUUACGGAUUCAAAUGCAAGAAAAUCGAUUGUUUGAUAAUUUGUCGGUAAGAUCCCACAGCAUACGGUCGGUGCUAUUAAUAAGUAUGCCGGUGUUCGUAUUCACCGCACAGAGUCCAUUUUCUGUUAAUCCUUCGAUUCAGUACCGUCUUAAUAAUAUUUCUUAGGAAAAGUUAAUUGAAAAUCACUAACAUUGUUAAAAAGGAAUCUGAAUGUGUAUAAACUCUAAAAUAUUAUAGAUUAUAGGUUUCUAACCUCAAUCUUUUUUUACCUUAUUUAAAUAUCUUUAAUGCCAGCAGUGAUGUUAAACAUUUUGAAUAAAGUAUCGAAAGAACAGUACUAUCAGCACCAAAUGAUUUAUUUGUACCUUUUGGAUAUAGUCCAAAGUAUGUUUCCAAGUAAAUCUAAAAUGUUCUUGUAUUCGGAAUUGUACGCUAGAGCUUCCUACAUUAACCAUAAGAUCUGUUUUUUAUAUUAACCUUAAUUCGUGUACGAUAUCUUAUAUGUAAUAAAAAAAAACAUUAAUUUACAAAAGAAUGUAGUUUGGUAAUUUGGACGUGUACAUACAAUAUGAAUUAGCAUAAUUGCCUGUAAUUUAGAAAUAUGUAUUCUUUGUUCUUCAGAAGUAAUACAUAAAAUUAAAUGAGCUGAGUUAAAAAAUGAAAUACUAGCCAACACCGAUUAAUCCUUCGGUAUAAUUCGCCAGCAAAUAAUGCCAGAAACGCUCGGUAAAUCUCCUUGUAUUUUAGCAAUCUGGCAACGCCGCGUUAGCAACGUCGCCUUACGAAAGCAGACAGGCACAUUCACCCUUUGUGAUGUUCAACGCAUGCGCAAUCAUUCUACACAGAAUAGGUACCGAUGCACCGGCACGCGGAACCAUGAUCUGUGGAAUACUGCGACACCGCAUAUCGUUAUAGCCUACGACGCAUGCGUGCCGUAUUUUGCCACAUGUGACAAACUACCGCCGAAAGGUCGUGUAUCUACUAUUCAGCCAUACAUAUGUAUACGUAUAUACAAUAACUAAAUGGUAGAUUUCACGCGAAGCAUAUUUUUGCUGCAUGUCACGAUUGGUUAGUUGAACCAUCAUCAAAUUUACUUUUUUAUUCAAAUCAAAAUUUUUACAUAGAAGUUUUUCAAAACGAUUCUCCGUACAUUUCUUGGUUAGGUUCAGUAGUAUUCAAUAUAUCUAUACUAAUUUAUUUAUAAGAUUCAUUACUAUUUAUAUUUGAAUGUUUAUACGCAAUGGACCAAAUUAUGAAUACAUAAAUAAAUUUCAAUGAAAAUUACGGUUGCGUGGACUUAUAUUAAAAGCACAAAUGCUAUUUGUAGUUACAUUUGUAUUUAAGUUUCAUUAAAAAUACCAAGAUCCAAGAACCAAAAAUAUCAAGAAACCUAGUUGGAGCGAAUUUUACAAUUUCAUACAAGUGUAUGAUUCUUUCGUAUAUUCGCGUUAAUUUACGUUCAAGUAAAUUCGAGUCGUUAACACAUUUCAGACGCGUUGUGUGCACAAUGCACUUGCACUUCUCAUGUAUUCUUCUCGGAAAAUUUGUUUCUCAGCAAUCUUCGCACUCACGAUUUACAUUCCCCCUCCCAAAAAAAAAAAAAGAAAAAAAA